GAGCAGGACAAAGCAAAAACUUUCCACAGGGUUUUGUUUUUGUUUUUGUUUUUUUUUUUUACUCCUAAUCUAGGCAGUUGUUCCUUAAGGGAAAGGAUAUUUAGAAACAGCUCUCCCAGCCAGGACUUUAGGGUCCUGUUGCUAAGAUUUAAAACAGCUGUUUUCUAUCUAACUAUCAGAGUCACACAGCUGGGAAGUAUCUGAGGUCCGAUUUGAACCUAGGACCUUCUGUCUCUAGGCCUGGCUCUCAAUCCACUGAGCCCCCCAGCUGCCCCUUAAGAUUAAAGGGAAGAAAAAGAAAAACUGCUGAUUACAAUUUAACUUAAGGAGAAAAGAGAAGAGAGAAGUUUUUUAUACUCACUUGUUCUAGCAGCUGUGUCUUUAAGCCAAGUUAGCUGUUAAAAAGGACUGAGUGGUGAGAAAGUAGAGUAAAAAGGCAAGAAAAUUCAGAAAGUUUAUUGAGGGAAUUUGUUAGACUUCUGUGGUCAGCCACACUGAAAUCUUCAUGCAUGCAGAAUUUAUCAAUAUUCUUUUUCAUAUCUAUAAGUAUGAAUUACAAGUGAUUUCCUUCACGGAUGGGGAUAUCAUGAUUGCAACUCCUGCUGUAUUUCUAUCAGUUGAGGUCCAAAAGGUCUUACUCCAUCCUUCAAUUCUGACCUUAUGA
rnacentral:lncRNA from 1 species